ACCCCCCCCCCCAUGCUGAUGAGCCUUGCGGGGGGGGGGGGGGUGUUAAGGAGAGCGGGCCAGUGUCAGCCCCACACGUGCGCUGCGAGCCUGGGGCCGAGACACGGCCACGCCGCUCGUGCGCGGGAGCCCCGAAUUCGCCCGACCAGCGCAAUGCAAAGAUCCAGGGGGGCCGCCACUGCUCGGGCUGCCCGUAGCGCCAAGAGCAGGGGGGGAAGCGGGUCCACAGUGCAAACGUGCCGUGGUUCACAUGCGGUGUCGUGCGGAGGUGAAAGGAAGCGGUGCGCCCUGGUGCGCAGCUCCGGGGGAGCUGGCGGAACUACAGACGGCAGCAGGGAGCCACUGGGAGAGCUGGCACGGAUCCUGGUGGCAACAGGACAGUAACUGUAGGAAAAGUGAUAAAGCAGAAGUGAGCUUUUCAGGAGCAGUUUGAAUCCUGAGAGGAUGGAGGGAACUAGGAGAUGGCGGAAGGGCUUUCCGACAGGCCAGGGCAGCAGGGAAGAAAGCCUGAAGGCAUAUGUCAGAGCAAGAGACGAAAGGGGUGUCACGGCUAUCUAUCCUCACUGACUAAAUGGUACGGGGGAUCAGGGCCGGAUUAGGGGGCGCCAACCUAUGGGGGGGCGCUUGAUGGCAGCUGUAAGGGGUGUUGCACACCCGGCCGCGCAGCACCCCUUAGAGCUGCCAUCAGGUGCCAUGUGCCUGGGGCAAGGGGCCGCACGGCGCCCCUUAGACCUGCAGUCGGCCACUGUGUGCCCAAUUGCAGCUGUAAGGUGUGCCGGGGGUGGAGCCGUGCAUGUGCCCUGUGCCCGGGGAUGGAGCCAUGCAUGCAUCGCGCACCCGCAGCUCAGGAAUGGCUUGAGCCGGCCUUGGGGGGGAUACAAAAUGGAAAUCAAAUCAGAUAUAUGCAGACGCUAUGUCAAAGCAAGGACAAAGAGCAUGACUCUUUACAGAUAAGGAAAUUAGGUGGUGUUUGUUUCUGUUUGUUUUUAACCUUUUACAAGUUAUGGAAGGAGAUUAUGCUAUUAGGGGGUGCACUGGCUCAGUAUUUUGUGUUUCUAUAGCAACUUUCUCUGAAGUAACUCAGAGCAGUUUACAAAUAUAAUUGUUGUUAAAUUAAAAAUCCCUCUUCUGUCUGAAAAUGGCUUACCUGCUAUGGUUACAAGUAACAUCUAACUGAAAAUGAGAGAGUUUUUUUUUUUAAUUCCCCUAUUGCUUUGUCUUGUUUUCUUUAUGGAUUUAAGCACUUUGUGUAUAGUCAGUUUCAUGGUGUUACUUUCACAACAACUUUAGUCACCUGCCCUAAUAUUUGUGUGACUUUUUUCCAGAAAUCAACAGAGGGGAGAAACAUUUUAACAUUUUCUAUGAACAGGGGCGGCCCAUGACUAUAGGCCAACUUGGCCAUCGCCUAGGGUGCUGCCUUCAGCGGGGCGCCAGGCGCCCAAUUAUGACAUCAUUUGGUGCCCAGGGCGCCCGAUGAUGUCAUCACUCCAUUGACGGACGUGCAGGCGGGGGCGCUGAUUACGCGUUCUGCCUGGGGUGCCAGCUGCCACAGCCCGCCUCAGGCUGCUCCUGUCUAUGAAGCACCAAAACUGGCAGCAGGUCUCGACUAGCUUCUGUUUCUCAGCCUAUCCUUAACUUU